UUUUGUAAGUCAGAUUGGAAUUCGUUGAGCUCAAUUUAGGAAAUGCGUUUGAAAGUGCAAGGACUAGCAUCUGUCAGAAGGGGGUAGAAUUNCUCGUGUAGCAGUGAAAUCCGUAGAUAUGUGUAGGAAUACCAAUGGCGAAGGCAGCCCCCUGGGAUAAUAUUGACGUCAUGCAUGAAAGCGUGGGGAGCAAACAGGAUUAGAUAUCCUGGUAGUACACUCCCUAAAAGAUGUGUACUAGUUGUUGGUGGAGUAAAAUCCAUGAGUAACGCAGCUAACGCGUGAAGUAGACCGCAGGGGAGUACGGUCGCAAGAUUAAAACUCAAAUGAAUUGACGGGGGCCCGCACAAGCGGUGGGUUAUGUGGAUUAAUUCGAUGCAACGCGAAAAACCUUACCUGGCCUUGACAUGUACCGAAUUUACCAGAGAUGGUUUAGUGCUCGAAAGAGAACGGUAACACAGGUGCUGCAUGGCUGUAGUCAGCUCGUGUCGUGAGAUGCUGGGUUAAGUCCCGCAACGAGCGCAACCCUUGCCAUUAAUUGCCAUCAUUUAGUUGGGCACUUUAAUGGGACUGCCGGUGACAAACCGGAGGAAGGUGGGGAUGACGUCAAGUCCUCAUGGCCCUUAUGGCCAGGGCUUCACACGUAAUACAAUGGUCGGUACAGAGGGUCGCCAACCCGCGAGGGGGAGCCAAUCCCAGAAAGCCGAUCGUAGUCCGGAUUGUAGUUUGCAACUCGACUACAUGAAGUGGGAAUCGCUAGUAAUCGCGGAUCAGCAUGUCGCGGUGAAUACGUUCCGGGGCCGUGUACACGCCGCCCG
rnacentral:rRNA from 1 species